rnacentral:rRNA from 1 species
GUCGAGCGAACGGACGAGAAGCUUGCUUCUCUGAUGUUAGCGGCGGACGGGUGAGUAACACGUGGAUAACCUACCUAUAAGACUGGGAUAACUUCGGGAAACCGUAGCUAAUACCGGAUAAUAUUUUGAACCGCAUGGUUCAAAAGUGAAAGACGGUCUUGCUGUCACUUAUAGAUGGAUCCGCGCUGCAUUAGCUAGUUGGUAAAGUAACGGCUUACCAAGGCAACGAUGCAUAGCCGACCUGAGAGGGUGAUCGGCCACACUGGAACUGAGACACGGUCCAGACUCCUACGGGAGGCAGCAGUAGGGAAUCUUCCGCAAUGGGCGAAAGCCUGACGGAGCAACGCCGCGUGAGUGAUGAAGGUCUUCGGAUCGUAAAACUCUGUUAUUAGGGAAGAACAUAUGUGUAAGUAACUGUGCACAUCUUGACGGUACCUAAUCAGAAAGCCACGGCUAACUACGUGCCAGCAGCCGCGGUAAUACGUAGGUGGCAAGCGUUAUCCGGAAUUAUUGGGCGUAAAGCGCGCGUAGGCGGUUUUUUAAGUCUGAUGUGAAAGCCCACGGCUCGACCGUGGAGGGUCAUUGGAAACUGGAAAACUUGAGUGCAGAAGAGGAAAGUGGAAUUCCAUGUGUAGCGGUGAAAUGCGCAGAGAUAUGGAGGAACACCAGUGGCGAAGGCGACUUUCUGGUCUGUAACUGACGCUGAUGUGCGAAAGCGUGGGGAUCAAACA